AAGUUCUAUCAAUAUUUGAAUGUCCUGGACAUUUAGGGAACAUUCGGUGAACAUCUGUUUAAAUUAUUCCUGGAAUGUUACCAUAAGACAUUCUGUGAACAUACUACCAAUGUUCCUAUAUUUUAAGUUGCGAAAUAAUACAUACGUGUAACAGAUACAACAUUACUUAUAACAUACCAGACAAACUAAGUGACAUUUUAGGCCUACAGUGCAAUAAUAUGUCAAAUUUAAAGAGUUUCCCAAGAUUAUAAACAUACAAAUGUAAUAAAAAUUAUUGUUCGCGAAUAUUCAAUUUGGAAUGCGAUUUUGUUAAUAAAAAAAAUACUUAUAACUUAUGCAAAACCCAAGAGAGGCAUUAUUUAUAUUUAUUUCUUUUGCGUUCAUUUUCAAAUUCGCCGUGCAUAUAUUUUUGGGCAUGGCGCUUGAGAGGGCAUCACGUGACUAAAAACGACCAACCAACGACCUCGCUUCGGCCAUCUUGGCAUCUUCAUCUUGGCCACCUUGCUUUGCCGUGGGUGGAUCGUUGUUUCUAUUAUUUGUGCUUUUUAAGAAUAUUUUUUUAAUUCGGAUACUUUUAUAAUAGCUUUAAUAGUAUUAUUAACAUAGUGCAUAAAAUGGUGUCCUGUUUUUAACGCAGUUGGAGUAGCAGAAACAAAUGUAGAUAAAAAAAUCUGCAGGAAUAACGUUUAAAUUAUGACAGAAGUUCGAAACAAAUGACUGUGAAUUAGUGUGAAUGAAAAGCCCUAUUAAAAGCUUUCCAGAAGAUCCUGCGAAGAAGACAUGAACUAUAGAUCAGAUUUGUUAAUAGAGGAGUAUGUUCAAAACACUUUCUAGAAAAAGAUAUUGACAGAACUUCACUUUCAUCUGUUCGUUUAAGAGACUGUGCUGUUCCAAUAGCUUAUGUCACACACAAUCAGCUGAGAGAAGUGGUCUAC
rnacentral:lncRNA from 1 species